UACGAAGGGGCUAGCGUUGUUCGGAAUUACUGGGCGUAAAGGGCGCGUAGGCGGCCUUGUGAGUCGAGUGUGAAAGCCCUGGGCUUAACCCGGGAAGCGCGCUUGAUACUGCAGGGCUUGAGUGUGGGAGAGGAUGAUGGAAUUCCCAGUGUAGAAGGUGAAAUUCGUAGAUAUUGGGAAGAACACCGGUGGCGAAGGCGAUCAUCUGGACCACAACUGACGCUGAGGCGCGAAAGCGUGGGGAGCAAAC
rnacentral:rRNA from 1 species